GUAAGGAAAAUGACUAUGGAGUCUGUUUAGUGCUUUGUUUUGUGGGUCCAUGGGAGCAGGAGUUGUCUCGCUUUCUGCUGAGUCCUCUGCGUCCCCUUCUUGCAGUCAGAGCCCCACAGUUGACGUGUGCUCUUACCGGAAGAAGAUAAUGUUCUUAAACCACUCUUGGUGAAACAAAUGCACUUAUCAUCUCCCCUUCCUACGCCACUUCCAAACCCAAUUCUCUCCAGUGGCUGGUGAUGCUCACCUGGACUGAAUUUCCCAGCUUCUGCCGCAGGUCUGUGAGGCCAUGUGACCUGAGAAGCAGUGAAGGUGGCAGAAGUGGGAUCCACCACAUCCAAGCUCAGGCCAUGAAACUGCCUGUGGCAUCCUCCACACUCUUGCUCUUCUCUCUCCUGCUGGUCAGACAUGGAUGAUCCAGUGGAGGCCUCCAAGGCCCUAGGGGAUGGCAGAACCGCUCGAUAGCAGAUGCUUGGGGCCCUGGAGGACUGCAUGGAUCAAAGCCCCCUCCAACCAACCUUGAUUGUGAAAUGAUGAUGAAAUAAACCUUCAUUAUGGUGUGUCA
ensembl:lncRNA novel transcript